ACCCGGCUCCUGUACCUAGUUGGCUGCCAGAUCAGCAUGAAAAGAUUUAGAGAUAAGAGUGGACAAAGUCCAUGCAGCGGGGCUGUUCAGCCUGACAGGAAAGUGUUUCUGCCAGAAACGCCUUCCAAGAGUAACUCGAGGUGCACUAGCAGUGUCCCCAGCGGGCCUUAAGAAUGCCGGAAGCAGUGUAAGGUCUUUCUCUUUACAAUGCAGAGAUUCAACAAAGCAGGGGUUUUUGAAAUGACACCAAUUUGGAAUUGCUGGGUAAUUACUUUUGAGAAAUCGACAUAUAUUGGGGAUUUCGUAAGAGGCCCUUCCUCCCCACUUAAUUUUAGAGGUCUCCUGUAGCCCAGCUGGCCUCCUCAAAUUUCUGAUCCUCUUGUCCCUACCUCCCAGUGAUGGGAUACAGGCGUUUGCCACUGGGCUUGGACAAUUUUUUUUCUUCUUCAAGAUGGGUAACAGUAUGUAGGGUAGUCUAACCUCAAACUUCUGGAUAUCCUGUAUUAGCCAGGAGCCAUGCUGCAUUCUUGAAAGAUGGUAUGUGCAGGUAAAGGUGCCUGCAUGUAUGUCUGGGGAGGGAAGAGUGAGGAUGUUGGCCAGUGGAGCCAGUCUGUGAAAUACUUAGCCUAAUUCCUCUGAGAAAUUAGAAGCUGAGAGUCUUAAGUUCAAGUCUGUGUUGGACAUUAGUCCACACUCACUUGUGCUUAUGCAACUUUAAGUUUAAUUGGAAAUUCAGUUCCUUACUUGUGUUAAUGGCCCUUCAAAAGCUCAGUUAUCAGUGUGGCUUGAAGGUUUACUACAUUUCCAUUGUUGAAGAAAAUUCUUGUGCUAACAGCGCUUCAAGAUAGAUUUCUGGCCUCAUGUCACUUGCCCUGUCAUUUGGGUUUCCUAACGUCAUUGUUUGUAUAUGCUAGGCCCAGGGCGUGGCACUAAUAGGAACUGUGGCCUUGUUGGAGUAGGUGUGUCACUGUGGGUGUGGACUUUAAGACCCUUGUCCUAGUUGCAUGGAAGCCAGUCUUCUCCUAGCUGCCUUCAGAACAAGAGGUGGAACUCUCAGCUCCUCCAGCCCUAUGUCUGCCUGAACACUGCCAUGUUCCCACCUUGAUAAUAGUGGACUGAACCUCUGAACCUGUAAGCCAGCCCUAAUUAAAUGUUGUCCUUAU
rnacentral:lncRNA from 1 species